ensembl:lncRNA
AGCUUGUCGGUAGCCAAUAGCCUUUCCCUCAGGUUUUAGAAAUCCUGUCUCAACUCCCCUCAUUGCCGCAGCCUGAUGUUGUUAGUACUGGCAUGCAUGACCACCGUGUGCAGCUCCGGAUUUCAGUCUAGGAUGGCCGUAAGCUCCCGGUAAUGUCACACACCCUGGCUUCAGGGAAGCAGAAAGUCUUUGCCCCAACAACCACCACAUCCCGGACAAUGGAACUCCCGACGAUGGCUACCUUGGGAGGAGGGGUCGUGGAUUCCCAGAGCCAGAGAUCCUGGAUGGCUGAUGUAUGAAGGGGGCGUGGUUGGCUCAGCAACCCAGGAUCAGAGGUUGAGUGGGAAGGGCGUGGGGGGGCGGAGUAGGUCAUUUGACAGAGGGCCCCAGUGAAGUCAGGAGGCUCAGAGCCGAAAAACGGUUAGGGAGCCGUAGGUCUGAACGAGUGGGAGGGGGAAAAUUCAUUGGAAUCGUCCUCAUCUCUUCCUUCUAACUCGAUUCCACUUUACUUCUGAUGGUGUAGAAGAAAAUGCAGUAGAUCUCUGGUUCUUGUCGGUGGGAUGUGAAAGUGGUCCAAGGUAGUAUCCACAGUAGCUACUGCAGAGGAGCCCAAUCUCGUAGAGCACCCAGAAUUUCCCCUCGGUCAUUUAGAAUUGUCGCAUCAAAAAUAGCAUGCAGUCUUGAAGUCUCCUUAGCCAGAGCGUGAUGUUCUCUUAGGACCCUGUUCUCCUCUAGUAGCUCAAUGAUCCUGGCCCUUUGAGGCACGGAGCUGUUUGCGUUUAUCACAAGUAUAUAGGUUUGAUCACUUAUAGGGAUCUCCUCAUUUAUGAAGAAACAGGGUUGACUUCCCCCUAGUGUCCAUGGAGAGAACUGCGCUGGAUUGUCCAGUGAGAAAGCAGCUUAUUAAAGCAUUCAUAUCCAACAGAACCAGGUUUUCACUGAGUUUGUCAACGGGUUGGUGGUGGUGAUUCUGGGAGGAUACGUUCAAGCUGUGUUUUAGUGGCGUAAUAAUGGUCGGAAUCACAUUAAUUCCAGGAGGGGUGCGUCACUUGAGUGGGUUGAGUCAAUGACGUGAUCUUCCUGACCGGGUUGGCGCCCCCCUCUUGCGUUGUGCCAUGGCGGAGAUCUUUGUGGGCUAUACUCGGCCUUGUCUCAGGAUGGUAAGUUGGUGGUUGAAUAUAUUCCUCUAGUGGUGUGGGGGCUGUGCUUUGGCAAAGUGGGUGGGGUUAUAUCCUACCUGUUUGGCCCUGUCCCGGGGUAUCGUCGGAUGGGGCCACAGUGUUUCCCGACCCCUCCUGUCUAAGCCUCCAGUAUUUAUGCUGCAGUAGUUUAUGUGUCGGGGGGCUAGGGUCAGUCUGCUAUAUCUGGAGUACUUCUCCUGUCUUAUCCGGUGUCCUGUGUGAAUAUAAGUAUGUUCUCUCUAAUUCUCUCUCUCUUUCUCUCUUUUCCUUUCUUUCUUUCUUUCUUUCUUUCUUUCUUUCUUUCUCUGUCUCGGAGGACCUGAGCCCUAGGACCAUGCCUCGGGACUACCUGGCCUGGUGACUCCUUGCUGUCCCCAGUCCACCUGGCCGUGCUGCUUGCUCCAGUUUCAACUGUUCUGCCUGCGGCUAUGGAACCCUGACCUGUUCACCGGACAUGCUACCUGUCCCAGACCUGCUGUUUUCAACUCUCUAGAGACAGCAGGAGCGGUAGAGAUACUCUGAAUGAUCGGCUAUGAAAAGUCAACUGACAUUUACUCCUGAGGUGCUGACCUGUUGCACUCUCGACAUCCACUGUGAUUGUUAUUAUUUGACCCUGCUGGUCAUCUAUGAACAUUUGAACAUCUUGGCCAUGUUCUGUUACAAUCUCCACCCGGCACAGCCAGAAGAGGACUGGCCACCCAUCAUAGCCCAGUUUCUCUCUAGAUUUCUUCCUAGGUUCUGGCCUUUCUAGGGAGUUUUUCCUAGCCACCUUGCUUCUAGACCUGCUUUACUUGCUGUUUGGGGUUUUAGGCUGGGUUUCUGUACAGAACUUUGUGACAUCAGCUGAAGUAAGAAGGCAUUUAUAAAUACAGUACAUUUGAUUGAUUGACAAAAAAUUUUUUUUUAAUUGUCAUACUUGAGUAAAAGUAAAGAUACCUUCAUACAAAAUCAGUCAAGUAAAAGUGAAAGUCAUCCAGUAAAAUACUACUUGAGUAAAAGUCUAAAAGUAUUUGGUUUAAAAUAUACUUAAGCAUCAAAAGUAAAUGUAAUUGCUCACAUAUAUACUUAACUAUCAAAUUUUGAAACUAUUAUUUCAAAUGUCUUAUAUUAAGCAAACCAUUAUUAUAUAUUUUUUUAUAUUUUAAUUUAUGGAUAGCCAGGGACACACUCCAACACUCAGACAUAAUUCACAAAUAAAGCAUGUGUUUGGUGAGUCCGCCAGAUCAGUGGCAGUAGGGAUGACCAGGAAUGUUCUCUUGAUAAGUGCUAACAAUUCAUAAUGUUGCUUGUCAGGGAAAAUGUUUGUAGUAAAAAUGUGCAUUAUAGUAUAGUGAAGUAAAAGUUGUAAAGUACAGAUACCCCAAAAAACGACUCAAGUAGUACUUUCAAGUAUUUUUACUUAAAUACGUUACACCCCUUUUUACAAAUGUUGUAUUUUGGGUUCUGAUGGGGUACGACAGUUGAACUAAGCUCAUGAUACAUUUGCAUGUUAUAUUCUUUAAGAAUCAAUGGGUAUACCCUGAGUGUACAAAACAUGAAGAACUCCUUCCUAAUAUUGAGUUGCACCCACCCUUUUGCCCUCAGAAUAGCCUCAAUUUGUCAGAGCAUGGACUCUACAAGGUUUCGAAAGCGUUCCACAGGGAUGUUGGCCAAUGUUGACUCCAAUGCUUCCAAAUAGAUGUGUCAAGUUGGCUGGAUGUCCUUUGGGUGGUGGACCAUGCUUGAUAAACAUGGGAAACUGUUGUGUGUGAAAAACCAGGAAGAGUUGCAUUUCUUGAAAGACUCAAGCCGGUUUACUUUGCACCAACUACCAUACCCUGUUGAAAGGCACUUGAAUAUGUUGUCUUGCCCAUUCACCCUCUGAAUGGCACACAUACACAUUCCAUGUCUAAAGUUGCCUAAAGUUGUCUAAAGGCUUUAAAAUAAUUUUUGAACUUUACUUCUCCCCUUCAUCUACACUGAUUGAAGUGGAUUUAACAAGUGACAUCAAUAAGAGAUUAUAGGUUUCACCUAGAUUCACCUAGUCAGUCUAUGUCAUGGAAAGAGCAGGUGUCCUUAAUGUUUAGUACACUCAGUGUAUAUCAUUACUGUCACAUCCUGAUCUGUUUCACCGGUCUUUGUGCUUGUCUCCACACCCCUCCAGGUGUUGCCCAUCUUCCCCAUUAUCCCCAGUGUAUUUAUACCUGUGUUCUCUAUUUGUCUGUUGCCUGUUUGUGUUGUUCAUCAAGCCUAGCAGCGGUUUUCCCCUGGCUCCUGUGUGUUUCUAGUUCCUGUUUUCUAGUUUUCACAGUUUUGACCAUUCUGCCUGCCCUGAGCCUGCCUGCCGUUCUGUACCUUUAGGAAUGAUCUGGAUUACUGACCUCUGCCUGCUCUUGACCUGUCGUUUUGCCUGCCUGUGAAGCAGUAACAAAAGCGGAGGAUCGGACAGUGAGGAAACAGACAGGAUGUCCUGGUGCUCACCUCUCUUAGGGGCUUUCAUUUACAAUAUUAACAAGUUUACGAAUAAUUGGCCAAUAAACCUUGUACAGAAAAUAACAAAUGGGACAUUGACAAAGACUUGAAUAAAUCAAACAUAUUCUCAGUAUAAAUUAUUCCGGCAACAAAUCUUUGCCUACAACAAAGCACAGGUAUAACUCUGCUCUAGCCAACCUGUUGCCUGCUCUCCCCCAGGGAAAAGCCAAAUGAGCACCUAAGUACUCUUUCCAGGAACGCUCUUCAGCUAAGAAUGUUCCAUCAUGAUAGCCACAAAACACAUUUCUACCAUAAUGCAUAAUUUCCCAUGGACAUAUAUCAUAAACAACAGUUUUACAUAAACACACUCUUCAAUAACUUGUGCCAUAACUUCUACUUUAAGUCACACAAUACACAUUCAUGAAGUAAUUCACCGCCACAAUAAUUCAUCCCUUUUUGUUAUUCCCGGUAACCAAUAAAUGUUCCUUGAUGACUCAUAGACUAAUUUGCCUCAUGCAUGCUUAAUGCACACCGACACUUCAACAAGGAAACAGCACGGCGCUUCAGACAAACAGAGGUAGGUUAAAUUAUAUGGUUAUACUCUACUAAUACUUCAAUUGUUAUUCUAAUAAUACAUUUCACAAUGCUAGAGCAUGUACAUUUAAAUGGGCAGCUUUAUACACAGUAGAAACAUUGUUAGCAAGUUACAUUGUUUUAGUAACUGGCGUGCGCAAAACAAACAUUAGACUUUGGCGCAGUAUUGUUGGCAAAUGGAAUGUGCUACUCAAUCCAACAUUCGCUUUGGUUUCAGGAUUCUUGGCUAUACCUUGAAGAGAUACAAUAAAGAGUCUUCCUUCAACCAAUAAUUUGUUUCAGUGUCAUUGUCUACAAGUCAUGGACAUGCGCUCCGUGAUACUGCCCGUGUUCCAGUAAUAAACUUUUGUUACUUCGACACUGUCUGCAUCUGGGUUUUCCCUGAAAUGCAUGAGCACUAACUGGCCAUGACUGACCCAGCAGACUCUGACCAGCUCCACAACGCCAUCUACUCCCAAGGAGCCAACAUUGGAAGGAACGAGGGUUCCAGACCUUGGCUGAACGGCAUGACUGAGCGUUUGAAGACAUUGCUGGAGCAAUUCCGCGGGUUGUCUGUUAGGCAGCCUACCGCAAGAUGGCG